CCUACGGGAGGCAGCAGUAGGGAAUCUUCCACAAUGGACGAAAGCCUGAUGGAGCAACGCCGCGUGGGUGAAGAAGGUCUUCUGAUCUUAAAACCCUGUUGUUAGAGAGGAAAGUGCGUGAGAGUAACUGUGCACGUUUCGACGGUAUCUAACCAGAAAGCCACGGCUAACUACGUGCCAGCAGCCGCGGUAAUACGUAGGUGGCAAGCGUUGUCCGGAUUUAUUGGGAGUAAAGGGAACGCAGGCGGUCUUUUAAGUGGGAUGUGAAAGCCUUCGGCUUAACCUGAGUAGUGCAUUGGAAACUGGGAGACUAGAGUGCAGAAGCGGAGAGUGGAA
rnacentral:rRNA from 1 species